rnacentral:rRNA from 1 species
GGCCUACCAUGGUGGUAACGGGUAACGGGGUGUUAGGGCACGACACCGGAGAGGGAGCCUGAGAAACGGCUACCACAUCCAAGGAUGGCAGCAGGCGCGCAAAUUACCCAAUCCCGACACGGGGAGGUAGUGACAAUAAAUAACAAUACGGGGUUCUUUAGGAUCUCGUAAUUGGAAUGAGUACAAUUUAAAUCUCUUAACGAGGAACAAUCGGAGGGCAAGUCUGGUGCCAGCAGCCGCGGUAAUUCCAGCUCCAAUAGCGUAUAUUAAAGUUGUUGCAGUUAAAAAGCUCGUAGUUGAAUUUCGGGAUUAGUACGUUGGUCGUGCCUUAGGUACGUACUGGUGUUACUGGUUUCUACCUUCUGACGAACCAUCAUGUCAUUAAUUUGGUGGGGGGGGGAAUCAGGACUGUUACUUUGAAAAAAUUAGAGUGUUUAAAGCAGGCUCGCGCUUGAAUACAUUAGCAUGGAAUAAUGAAAUAGGACGUUGAUCCUAUUUUGUUGGUUUCUAGGAUUGACGUAAUGAUUAAUAGGGAUAGUUGGGGGCAUUAGUAUUCAAUUGUCAGAGGUGAAAUUCUUGGAUUUAUUGAAGACUAACUACUGCGAAAGCAUUUGCCAAGGAUGUUUUCAUUAAUCAAGAACGAAAGUUAGGGGAUCGAAGACGAUCAGAUACCGUCGUAGUCUUAACCAUAAACUAUGCCGACUAGGGAUCGGAUGAUAUAUUUUUUAUGACUCAUUCGGCGCCUUACG